rnacentral:rRNA from 1 species
CCUACGGGUGGCUGCAGUGGGGAAUAUUGGACAAUGGGGGCAACCCUGAUCCAGCCAUGCCGCGUGUGUGAAGAAGGCCCUCGGGUUGUAAAGCACUUUCAGUGAGGAAGAACGCCUGGUGGUUAAUACCCAUCAGGAAAGACAUCACUCACAGAAGAAGCACCGGCUAACUCCGUGCCAGCAGCCGCGGUAAUACGGAGGGUGCGAGCGUUAAUCGGAAUUACUGGGCGUAAAGCGCGCGUAGGUGGCUUGAUAAGCCGGUUGUGAAAGCCCCGGGCUCAACCUGGGAACGGCAUCCGGAACUGUCAAGCUAGAGUGCAGGAGAGGAAGGUAGAAUUCCCGGUGUAGCGGUGAAAUGCGUAGAGAUCGGGAGGAAUACCAGUGGCGAAGGCGGCCUUCUGGACUGACACUAACACUGAGGUGCGAAAGCGUGGGUAGCAAACAGGAUUAGAUACCCGUGUAGUC